CGACGAAGAGUAUAAUAUAGUAUGAUAAAUUAUAAAAAUUAAAUCUCUAUUGACUUUUGUAAAUAUUAUGUAUUUAUUUAUGUAAAUCAAUAAUUUGAAAAAUGAACGGGUCCUAUAUGCAUAUAUAAUAAUUAGUAUAGUAUAGUUUUAAUUUUAAAAAAAUGUUACACAAUAUUUAACGAACUAUUUUGUUUGCCCGUUUUUAAAGUAUGACUAAUACGAAAAUGUGUUGAUUUGUUAUCAAUAGAAUGUAUACUUUUACUGCACGAGCUAUCUAUAAACUGUUAUAGUGUCGAUAAAUAAACGCAAUAUUAUUUAUCGUAAAAUGAAAUAAGUAAGAUUAUAAUUUUCGUGUAGAAUUUGUUAAUUAUUCGAAUUAUUUUUCACGUGGAAAUAAAACAGAAUAUUUAGAAUAUUAUUUAAACGUGAUCGACGUUGUUUGGGGUAUUUUUUUUUUUUUUAUUUUUGUAACAACACGUGAGAUCUUAGUGAAAAAUAUAGAAAAAAAUUAUAUUCAAUUACUUCCGUGCGCGGUAAAUUAUUUUUCGAACGAUAGCGAACAUUUUAUGUGGAUUUUUUUCGCGUUUUUAAAUCUUCCUAUAGAUAACCACUGUCGAAAUAUUAUUAUCAUUUUAGUUUUAUUAUUAUAUAGUGUGGCCGUUAAAAUUUCCCUGCCUAUAUAAAAAAAAAAGUAGGUUUAACAAUUAUAAGUUAAAGUACCUUUAUACGGAAAAUGCUUGAAUUGGGGUGAUAAGGACCCGAAUGGGGAAGCGGAUGUAGUAACUUUUCUUUUCUAAAAAUAUUUUAGCAUAUCUCUUCUAAUUUUGUAUGAUGGACACCGAGCAGAGUUAACAAAAAUCGAUACGGAAGCAUGUGAUUAAACAUUUCGCUGACUCCUGCAAAUAUGUAUCAAAUUUACUUUCUUCCAAAAAUGUUUUUAUAAUUUUUUUUUUGUCUUUAUAGUAUUUCAUUUGACAACAAUAAUAUAAAAGAGUAAUCACCUAAAAAAAAAAAAAUUAAUAAUAUAACUAUGCUUUUUUGUAAUUCA